CCUACGGGAGACAGCAGUGAGGAAUAUUGGUCAAUGGACGAGAGUCUGAACCAGCCAAGUAGCGUGCAGGAUGACUGCCCUAUGGGUUGUAAACUUCUUUUAUAUGGGAAUAAAAUGUUAUACGUGUGGGAUUUUGUAUGUAUCAUAUGAAUAAGGAUCGGCUAACUCCGUGCCAGCAGCCGCGGUAAUACGGAGGAUCCGAGCGUUAUCCGGAUUUAUUGGGUUUAAAGGGAGCGUAGGUGGAUUGUUAAGUCAGUUGUGAAAGUUUGCGGCUCAACCGUAGAAUUGCAGUUGAAACUGGCAGUCUUGAGUACAGUAGAGGUGGGCGGAAUUCGUGGUGUAGCGGUGAAAUGCUUAGAUAUCACGAAGAACUCCGAUUGCGAAGGCAGUUCACUGGACUGCAACUGACACUGAGGCUCGAAAGUGUGGGUAUCAAACAGGAUUAGAUACCCGUGUAGUC
rnacentral:rRNA from 1 species